AUUGAACGCUGGCGGCAUGCUUUACACAUGCAAGUCGAACGGUAACAGGCCGCAAGGUGCUGACGAGUGGCGAACGGGUGAGUAAUGCAUCGGAACGUGCCCAGUCGUGGGGGAUAACGCAGCGAAAGCUGCGCUAAUACCGCAUACGAUCUCUGGAUGAAAGCGGGGGCCCGUCAGGCCUCGCGCGAUUGGAGCGGCCGAUGUCAGAUUAGGUAGUUGGUGGGGUAAAGGCUCACCAAGCCAACGAUCUGUAGCUGGUCUGAGAGGACGACCAGCCACACUGGGACUGAGACACGGCCCAGACUCCUACGGGAGGCAGCAGUGGGGAAUUUUGGACAAUGGGCGCAAGCCUGAUCCAGCAAUGCCGCGUGCAGGAAGAAGGCCUUCGGGUUGUAAACUGCUUUUGUACGGAACGAAACGGUCCUGGUUAAUACCUGGGGCUAAUGACGGUACCGUAAGAAUAAGCACCGGCUAACUACGUGCCAGCCGCCGCCGUAACAC
rnacentral:rRNA from 1 species